rnacentral:rRNA from 1 species
CCCGGCUUGGCUGCUGUCUAACACAUGCAAGUCGAACGAGGGCUUCGGCCCUAGUGGCGCACGGGUGAGUAACACGUGGGAACCUGCCUUUCGGUUCGGGAUAACGUCUGGAAACGGACGCUAACACCGGAUACGUCCUUCGGGAGAAGGUUGACGCCGAUAGAGGGGCACGCAUCCGAUUACGUACUAGGAGGUGUAAUGGGCCACCAUGCCGACGAUCGGCAACUGGUCUGAGAUGAUGAUCAACCACGCUGGGACUGACACACAGUGCAAACUCCUACAGAAUGCAACAGUGGGGAAUAUUGGACAAUGUGGGCAACCCUGAUCCACCAAGGCCGCGUGAUGGAUGAAGGCCGUAGGGUUGUUUAGCUCUUUCGCACUCUACCAUGAUGACCGAAGAGUGAGAAAACGCCCCGGCUAACUUCGUGCCACCUCCCGCGGUAAUACGAAGGGGGCGAGCGUUGUUCAGAGUUACUGGGAGUUACUGGCGCGUAAGCGGCCUGUUUAGUCCUGAUUGAACGCACCGGGCUUACCCUGGGAUCGGCUUUUGAUACUGGCUGGCUUGAGUUCCGGAGAGGAUGGUGGAAUUCCCAGUGUAUAGGUGAGAUUCGGAGAUAUUGGGAAAAACAGCGGUGACGAACGCUGCCAUCUGGACGGAUACUGACGCUGACGCACGAUAACGUGCGGAGCAAACAGGAUUAAAUACGCUGAUAUUCCAUGCCGUACACCAUGAAUGCUAAACACUGCUGUGCAUGCACUUCCGUGUCCUUGCUAGCGCAUUAUGCAUUCCUCCUGGUGAGUACUGCCGCGUGCUUACGACUCGAAGGAAUUGACGGGAGCCCACACAAGCGCUGGAGCAUGUGGUAUAAUUCGAAUCAACUCGCAGAACCUUACCAACCCUUGACAUGUCCACUACCGGCUCGAGAGAUCUCGCUUUCUCUUCCUCUGGGUGCAACUCAGUGGCUGCCUGGCUGUCCUCGGCUCUUGUCGUGACAUGUUGGGUUAAGUCCCGCUACGAGCCGCAACCCCUACCGACCGCUUGCCAUCAUUUAGCUUGGGUACUCUGGGGGAACCUGCCUGGGAACUGCCCGGGAACAAAGCCGGAGAAAAACCUCAAAUCAUCAUGGGCCCUUAUGGGGUCGGGCUAGGCUGGUGCUAACAAUGGGCGUUGAAAGGGGGGAUGCCAAAGUCCUCAGGAUGUAAGCCAAAUCCCCAAACAAUCCCCCUAAAUUCGGAAUGAAAUCGGAUAGCCCCGGUGCAAUGAAGGUUGGAAUCACCUUAGUAAUCCCCGGAAUCAUCCCCGGCACCGGGGAAAUCCGUUUCCGAGGGCUUUGCCAGACCCUGUCCAAACCCCCCGG